rnacentral:misc_RNA from 1 species
UGUGGGAGCGGGCUUGCUCGCGAAUGCGCAGUGUCAGUCACUUAAUAGGCUGACUGAUUCACCGCAUUCGCGAGCAAGCCCGCUCCCACA